UAUAAGUACAGUUGUGAGUUUCCGUGUCUGGUAUUUGAUCAUCCAUCUUAUUGAAUGAUUCAUAUUUUUAUUGUUAUUAGAUGAUAAAAUAUGAAUAGCAUUUUAUGUGUGAAUAAUUUUUUUUAAUUUUUUCAUAAAUGUUUCAAAUAAGACGAACGGUUAAACAUUGGACACAGAAACCCACAACUGCACUUAUA
rfam:Oryza meridionalis cultivar OR44 (W2112) chromosome 3, whole genome shotgun sequence.